AAAAGGCUGCUCCGGAACUGCCCUACUUUAGACUUUUUCAUGGUUAUCAAUCUGUACAAAGAAUCACCAAACUGAUAAAGCAGGAACCAGAGGGCAAAUCACGCUGCCAAGACAACUGUGUAAUUCGCUCGAAAAAGAAACGAUGGAGUCUCGCUCUGUCACCCAGGCUGGAGUAUAGUGGUGUGAUCUUGGCUCACUGCAACCUCUGCCUCCCAGGUUCAAGCGAUUCUCCUGCCUCAGCCUCUCGAGUAGCUGGAAUUACAGGUCUGGCAGAAGGAACAGUAUCAACUGACUGAGUAGGUCUCAUUGGCAGUUGUGAUUCAGAGACCUAGAAAGCUGAACCCACGGCUGGCAAGAAGAGGAUGGUUUGUGGGACCUGGGCUGAUGUCUGAUGAAAUUUUAAGCCCCAGCUAUAGCUACUACAAAGAAAAGUGGCUGAUGAUAAGCAUGUAACUCAAAAGACAGAGUUUUGCCAUGUUGCCCAGGCUGGUCCCAAACUCCUGAGCUGAGGUGACCCUCCCGCCUCCACCUCCCAGAGUGCUGGGAUUACAGAAGACAAUGUAUAUAAAAAUAUGCAAGAAUCACAGGAAACCCACAUAUCCAACCACCUAGAUGAAGUUGUUGCUGCUGUUAGCAUCACUCAUAGAAAGAAGUUCCAAAACAAGCUGCUUCAGACAGCACUAUUCCAGCCUCCUCGAGAGAAACUCCACCUCUGUGAAGAGAAAGCAAAGUCCUAUUCC
rnacentral:lncRNA from 10 species